rnacentral:rRNA from 1 species
UACGUAGGGGGCUAGCGUUGUUCGGAAUUACUGGGCGUAAAGGGCGCGUAGGCGGCUUUAUAAGUCGGGGGUGAAAGCCUGUGGCUCAACCGCAGAAUUGCCUUCGAUACUGUAGAGCUUGAGACCGGAAGAGGUAAGUGGAACUGCGAGUGUAGAGGUGAAAUUCGUAGAUAUUCGCAAGAACACCAGUGGCGAAGGCGGCUUACUGGUCCGGUACUGACGCUGAGGCGCGAAAGCGUGGGGAGCAAACAGG